rnacentral:rRNA from 1 species
GACAGAGGAUGCAAACGUUGCUCGGAAUUACUGGGCGUAAAGCGCGCGCAGGUGGUCUGGUAAGUCGGGUGUGAAAUCCCGGGGCUCAACCUCGGAAGUGCACACGAUACUGCCGGACUCGAGUACUGGAGAGGAGAGCGGAAUUCCCGGUGUAGAGGUGAAAUUCGUAGAUAUCGGGAGGAACACCAGUGGCGAAGGCGGCUCUCUGGACAGAUACUGACACUGAGGCGCGAAAGCGUGGGAAGCAAACAGG